GGCCUUGAAGGAACAGUGACAGAAAUGGCCAUUCACGCUGCAGCCAUCCUCCUGUGUGGACAAAACCGAGUCUUGGAGCCGCUAAAGAACUUGGCUUUCUCCCCAGCAACCAUGGUGGUAAGACUGGGCUGGGAUUGCAUCGGCCUUCCCAGCAAACACUUCCAGCGGUUCGUCACCGUCCAGACCCAGCCUGUGGCCCUGGGAAAUGGGAACCUCUUUAGCUCUGACGUUCUGCACCUGCCUCUAUCUCACCUGAUCCGUUAGCCCACAACAGUAGGGAAAAACUCACCUUGCCCUCUGUAGUUUCACAGAGAAGAGUUAUAUUUUCUUCACAGGCAGCUUUUGAGGUCAGGAAGAAAGCAAACAAAAAGUUCCCUCUCUUAGCCUGGGCCUCUUGCUGGACAAUCGCAGCCCAGCAGUGAGCUCACUCACCCAGAGCCGGCUCUGCCUCUUUGCUCUUUCAGAAUGCCUUUCUUCCGACAAUGCCUGAGGACUUGCUGGCUCAAGCCAGGACCUGGAAGGGUCUGGAAGGAGUCCGUUGGUACACUUGUCCCAACGGCCAUCCCUGCUCUGUGGGAGAGUGCGGCAUGCCAAUGGAACAGAGCUUGUGUGUGGACUGUGGCGCUCCAAUUGGUGGUUCCAAUCACAGACCUCACGAUGGCUUUUCUGUUAUCCAACACAGCACAGACAGAACCCAGACUGGCCACGUGCUGGGUGACGCGUGUCGCAGAGGUGUGGCGGUGGCGCCUGACCGAGAGCUGUCCCCGGCGGUCUUCCUUCUCACCCGCCUGCUCACUCACUUGGCCAUGCUUCUGGGGGCCGUCCAAGACCCGCAGGCUCUGAUGAACAUCAUCAAGCCGCGUGUGCGGGAUCCGAGCGGCUUCCUGCGGCAGCACGUCCAGGCGGACCUGCAGCAGCUGACCAGGAUGCUGGGAAGGAGCGCCGACGAGACCACCAACGCCGUCCACCUCGUCCUGCGCAGCCUCGUCCAAGAGCAGCACCUGCCCUGCGGCCAGAGGCUUUUAAAUUUUGAUGCAAAACUGUCAACCAAAGAAAUGAGAAACAACUGGGAAAAGCAAGUUGAAGCUAUUAUGUUACCUGAACUGCAGCAUCUAGAUAAAACCCUUCAGACCGUGAACACUCUAAUCAGCAAAGAUGAGCGUAUCAGCUCUAACCCUGUGGCCAAAAUCAUAUACGGUGACCCGAUGACCUUCUUGCCCCACCUGCCCCGGAAAAGUGAGGUCCACUGCUCAAAGAUUUGGAGCUGCAGAAAAAGGAUCACAGUCGAGUACCUGCAGCACAUUGUGGAGCAGAAGAAUAGCAAAGAAACGGUGCCCGUCCUCUGGCAGUUCCUGCAGAAGGAAGCAGAACUGGGACUGGUGAAGUUCUUGCCUGAGAUUUUGGCCUUGCAAAGGAGUCUAGUGAAGCAAUUCCAGAAUGUUCCACAAGUUGAAUACAACUCCAUCAGAAGUUUCAUUAGCAGCCAAAAUUCAGAUGGGUUGAGACAGUUAUUUCAGGAGAGAAUCACCCUCUUUCUGUCGACAUGGAACAAGCUGAGGAGGUCACUGUCACUUACAGGUGAAAUCAAGCUGCCUGCAGACUACUGCAGUGCGGACCUGGACCUGGACACCGAGUUCGAGGUCAUCCUGCCGCGUCGACGCGGCCUCGGCCUCUGUUCGACCGCCUUGGUUAGCUACUUGAUUAACCUACACAAUCAAAUCGUCUACACGGUGGAAAAGUUCUCCAACGAAUGCAACAGCUAUUCUGUGGACGCCUCUGAGGUCACCGACCUGCACGUCAUCAAUUACGAGGCGGAGCGGGACCUGACCCCGCUGAUUCUGUCCAACUGCCAGUAUCAGGUGGAGCAGGGCGGCGAGACCGCGCAGGAGUUCCACCUGGAGAAGAUCCAGCGCCAGGUCACCAGCCGCUGCCUCCAGGGCAAGCCCAGGCUGACCCUGAAGGGAAUACCCACUCUGGUAUACAGACAUGACUGGAACUACGAACAUCUCUUUGUGGACAUCAAGAACAGAAUGGCACAGGUGGUCACACUAAACUUUGUCCUUUGCACAGUGUUGUUUGCCUCAGCAGAGUGCCUUCGUCAUAUUAGGACCGCUCUAGCCUCCCCUCACCCCUCCGUGUUUUCUGGGAGCGGCAGUUUCUGAGGCCUCCCUAAGAGCCAGGUGCUCUUUGCAGAGUAUCAACAGAUUGCCAGCUCGUGGGGUUAGUCCUUAGUGAUGACAUCAUGACCACGUAUGCUGAGCAAAGGGCCCACAGAACUUAGUUAUUCCUGCUCUCGAUGUGACAUAGAGAGGGACACCUCCGUGUGUCUCCAUCAUCCCACAGGGUU
ensembl:lincRNA